rnacentral:rRNA from 1 species
GACGAACGCUGGCGGCGUGCUUAACACAUGCAAGUCGAACGAAGUGGCGAACGGGUGAGUAAUACGUGAGUAACCUGCCCUCCUUUUUGGGAUAAGCCUUGGAAACGGGGUCUAAUACCGAAUAAAGGGGGAUGGGCGCUCGGCCUAUCAGCUUGUUGGUGGGGUGAUGGCCUACCAAGGCGGUGACGGGUAGCCGGCCUGAGAGGGUGACCGGCCACAUUGGUACUGAGUUACGGCCCAGACGGCAAUGGGAGGCAACAGUGGGGAAUAUUGCGCAAUGGGCGGAAGCGUGAUGCAGCGACGCCGCGGUGGGGAAGACGGCCUUCGGGUUGUAAACUCCUUUCACCAUCGACGCGGUAGAUGGAGAAGAAGCACCGGCUAACUACGUGCCAGCAGCCGCGGUAAUUC